rnacentral:rRNA from 1 species
GUUUCGAAUCAUUCACAAUGGGCGAAAGCCUGAUGGUGCGACGCCGCGUGAGGGAUGAAGGCCUUCGGGUUGUAAACCUCUGUCACCGGGGAGGAAUUGCUCAGCGCUAAUAGCGCUCGGUUUGACUUAACCCGGAGAGGAAGCAGUGGCUAACUCUGUGCCAGCAGCCGCGGUAAUACAGAGACUGCAAGCGUUAUUCGGAUUCACUGGGCGUAAAGGGUGCGCAGGCGGUCACGUAUGUGAGGUGUGAAAGCCCGGGGCUCAACUCCGGAAUGGCUCCUCAAACUACGGGACUAGAGCAUUGGAGGGAGUAGCAGAAUUCACGGUGUAGCAGUGAAAUGCGUAGAUAUCGUGAGGAAUACCAGAGGCGAAGGCGGCUACUUGGACAAUUGCUGACGCUCAGGCACGAAAGCGUGGGGAGCAAAAGGGAUUAGAAACCCUAGUAGUCC